CAAAAACAUGUCCUAUAGAUUUUAAUUUUAGGUCUGACCUGCCCACUGAUAUAUUAAAUGGCCGCAGUAUUCUAACUGUGCAAAGGUAGCAUAAUCAUUAGUCUUUUAAUUGAGGGCUUGUAUGAAUGGUUGGACGAAAUAUAAUCUGUCUCAUAUUAAAUUUAUAAUAGAAUUUUAUUUUUUAGUUAAAAAGCUAAAAUUUUGUUGAAAGACGAGAAGACCCUAUAGAUCUUUAUAAAUAUAAUAUUUAUUAUUAUUUAGAUUUGUUAAAUAUUAAUUAUUAUUAUUUAUUUUGUUGGGGUGACAUUAAAAUUUAUAGAACUUUUAAUUUAUUUUACACUUAUUUGUGAAUUAUAUGAUCCAUUAUUAGUGAUUAUAAAAUUAAGUUACCUUAGGGAUAACAGCGUAAUCUUUUUAGAGAGUUCAUAUCGAUAAAAAGGGUUGCGACCUCGAUGUUGGAUUAAAAUAAAUCUUGGGUGUAGCAGUUCAAGAUAUUAAGUCUGUUCGACUUUUAAAUUUUUACAUGAUCU
rnacentral:rRNA from 1 species